AUUGAACGCUGGCGGCAGGCCUAACACAUGCAAGUCGAACGGUAACAGAAAGCAGCUUGCUGCUUUGCUGACGAGUGGCGGACGGGUGAGUAAUGUCUGGGAAACUGCCUGAUGGAGGGGGAUAACUACUGGAAACGGUAGCUAAUACCGCAUAACGUCGCAAGACCAAAGAGGGGGACCUUCGGGCCUCUUGCCAUCGGAUGUGCCCAGAUGGGAUUAGCUAGUAGGUGGGGUAACGGCUCACCUAGGCGACGAUCCCUAGCUGGUCUGAGAGGAUGACCAGCCACACUGGAACUGAGACACGGUCCAGACUCCUACGGGAGGCAGCAGUGGGGAAUAUUGCACAAUGGGCGCAAGCCUGAUGCAGCCAUGCCGCGUGUAUGAAGAAGGCCUUCGGGUUGUAAAGUACUUUCAGCGGGGAGGAAGGGAGUAAAGUUAAUACCUUUGCUCAUUGACGUCACCCGCAGAAGAAGCACCGGCUAACUCCGUG
rnacentral:rRNA from 1 species